UGCGGUUAAAAAGCUCGUAGUUGGACUUCUGCUGAGGACGACUGGUCUGCCCUCUGGGUGAGUAUCUGGUUCGGCCGAAGCAUCUUCUUGGAGGUUGCAAGCGCACUUGACUGUGUGGUGCAACCGACUGGAAUUUUACUUUGAGGAAAUUAGAGUGUUCAAGGGAGGCACACGCCUCGCAUAGGUUAGCAUGGAAUAAUGCUGUAAGACCAUGGUAUUGCUGUGUUGGUUUCUAUCACCUAAGGUAAUGAUAAACAGGGAUAGUUGGGGGCAUUCGUAUUUAACUGUCAGAGGUGAAAUUCUUGGAUUUGUUAAAGACGAACGACUGCGAAAGCAUUUGCCAAGGAUGUUUUCAUUGAUCAAGAACGAAAGUUAGGGGAUCGAAGACGAUCAGAUACCGUCGUAGUCUUAACUAUAAACCAUGCCGACUAGAAAUUGGAGGUCGUUACUUGUACGACCCCUUCAGCACCUUCUGAGAAACCAUAAGUUUUUGGGUUCUGGGGGGAGUAUGGUCGCAAGGCUGAAACUUAAAGGAAUUGACGGAAGGGCACCACCAGGAGUGGAGCCUGCGGCUUAAUUUGACUCAACCA
rnacentral:rRNA from 1 species